AAAAGGUAAAUACAUACCUUUUCAUUCAGAAAGCUGUUCCCUGAAAGAGUUGGGAGGCUUUGAAUUCCCUUCAUCACUGGGAGGAGAGCAGGAGCCAUACACUGUGUGUGAGGGGUGUGGGGACCAUUCCUACUGUCUCCCUCCCUCUGUUCUCCCCUAAAUGAUCCUGAGCCAGGAAGAGUGAUGCAGAAUGUCUCUCACCCUGUGGAAGAGUUGGUCAGGCUGGUCCUCAGACAACCAGGGAAGCUCUUGGGGUCCUGGAGAAUAGGCACAUAGCAGAUAAAAGGAGUUCUUAACCAAACUUCCCUAGAACGGAGGGAGCUAACAAGAAAGAACUUUGGAAAUCUACCCUCCUCUUUCCCUGUCACUGCCAGGAAUGUCACCAUGAGAGCAGUUUCAGUUAAUGAGCAAACUCCUCAGACAAGGCAGGAAGGCAGCUCUUGGGCCUCACUGUCAAGCACAGGAAGCGACUGGAUUCCACUUGCCCGGUGUAGGGAUGACAGCAGGUCAGCUCCUCUCCAAUUACCCAGAAUGGGUGAGAGUUGAAGAUCUAGAAACAGAUUGCUGAGGCAGGAGAACAAAUGGUGACCCCUGCGCCUGCCCACGUUCCUGGAGGAAAACAGGAGCCAGUAGAGAGUGAGCUGACUCGGUGUGACUCCCUUAACAUUGACACAAAAGAGAAACUAUCAUAGGUCAUGGGUACCAGCAUCCCCAGUUCUCAUCAGGAAGCAGUACCCCAGGGCACAUGUCCCACAGACUGCUGAAAGAGAUCUUGCUCAGAGGCUUCACAAGAAGAUGAAGGGACCCAGGAGGAGAUUGUGGGUCCAUGGGAACUGUCAGGCCCCAGAGAACCUCCUAGCCCAUGCUGGAAGAGAAGGCCAUUCCAUCUGGGAAUCACAUGGCACUGGGUGGAGAGAGAACCGACUGGGCCUGACGCCUUGCAGAACCAGCAUCCAGCCUGUGUCCAAAGUGCUCCUGGAACCACAGAAUGUUUCAUGCCUCCAACCCUGCCCCCUCUGUCUGUCUGUCUGUUUGUCCAUCUGUCCAUCUGUCUCUCUCUCUCUCUCUCUCUCUCUCUCUCUCUCUCUCUCUGUGUGUGUGUGUGUGUGUGUGUUACAUACAUGUAUAACAUUCAACACUCACACUCAUGCUCUGGCCCAUGACUUUAUCCAUGUGCUCAGCAUCCUCCCAUCCAGAAAUCUCCAAGGCUCCCAACUGCACAGGCGACCAGCCUGAGUUCUCUGCCGGUCACUCCCAGGCUCCACCCAGCCCUUCCCCAGCCCCUUCACACAGCCCAGCUCAGCCAGGCAGGUCUCCCCUAGGGCACUAUUUUCGAGCACACUUUCUCUGCAGAUGUUCAGUCAUUUGCACCUGGGGCUGCUCUGCAUUUGUGCAUCAGCCUCAGUAGGGGUGUCUGAAUUGGGUGAGAGGGUGUGUCGGAGAAGAAUCCUGACUUGCAUUGGUUUGAGCAGAUAACGAAUAAAAAGUGUUCUCGCCGUGGAAAAAUCCAGACGGGUGUUGGCCCAGGCACAGCUCUAGGUCAAAAUUUUAAGAACCCCCACUCAUCUCUCUUGGCUGCCUUCACCUUCCUUAACCUCUGGACUAGCACCCAUCAAGAACCCCUCUAGGAGCCGGGUGGUGGUGGCACAUGCCUUUGAUCCCAGCACUUGGGAGGCAGAGGCAGGUGGAUUUCUGAGUUCGAGGCCAGCCUGGUCUACAGAGUGAGUUCUAGGACAGCCAGGGCUACACACAGAGAAACC
rnacentral:lncRNA from 1 species